UACCAGCACCCCGAGUGGUCGGGACGUUUAUUGGGCCUAAAGCAUCCGUAGCCGGUUCUACAAGUCUUCCGUUAAAUCCACCUGCUCAACAGAUGGGCUGCGGAAGAUACUAUGGAGCUAGGAGGCGGGAGAGGCAAGCGGUACUCGAUGGGUAGGGAUAAAAUCCGUUGAUCCAUUGAAGACCACCAGUGGCGAAGGCGGCUUGCCAGAACGCGCUCGACGGUGAGGGAUGAAAGCUGGGGGAGCAAACCGG
rnacentral:rRNA from 1 species